rnacentral:rRNA from 1 species
CAGCAGCCGCGGUAAUACGUAGGGGGCAAGCGUUGUCCGGAUUUACUGGGUGUAAAGGGUGCUCAGGUGGAUUUAUAAGUCAGAGGUGAAAAUCCGAAGCUUAACUUCGGAACUGCCUUUGAUACUGUAAGUCUAGAGUUUGAGAGAGGGCAAUGGAAUAUCUGGUGUAGCAGUGAAAUGCGUAGAUAUCAGAUAGAACACCAAUGGCGAAGGCAGUUGCCUGGCUCAAUACUGACACUAAAGCACGAAAGUGUGGGGAGCAAACAGGAUUAGAUACCCUGGUAGUCCACACCCUAAACGAUGAAUACUAGAUGUUGGUCUUUUUAAAGAUCAGUAUCUU